AACGAACGCUGGCGGCAUGCCUAACACAUGCAAGUCGAACGAGACCUUCGGGUCUAGUGGCGCACGGGCGCGUAACACGUGGGAAUCUGCCCUUCGGUUCGGAAUAACAGUUAGAAAUGACUGCUAAUACCGGAUGACGACGUAAGUCCAAAGAUUUAUCGCCGAAGGAUGAGCCCGCGUAGGAUUAGGUAGUUGGUGGGGUAAUGGCCUACCAAGCCGACGAUCCUUAGCUGGUCUGAGAGGAUGAUCAGCCACACUGGGACUGAGACACGGCCCAGACUCCUACGGGAGGCAGCAGUGGGGAAUAUUGGACAAUGGGCGAAAGCCUGAUCCAGCAAUGCCGCGUGAGUGAUGAAGGCCUUAGGGUUGUAAAGCUCUUUUACCAGGGAUGAUAAUGACAGUACCUGGAGAAUAAGCUCCGGCUAACUCCGUGCCAGCAGCCGCCGUAA
rnacentral:rRNA from 1 species